rnacentral:rRNA from 1 species
AGUGAACGCUGGCGGUAGGCCUAACACAUGCAAGUCGAACGGCAGCACAGUAAGAGCUUGCUCUUACGGGUGGCGAGUGGCGGACGGGUGAGGAAUACAUCGGAAUCUACUUUUUCGUGGGGGAUAACGUAGGGAAACUUACGCUAAUACCGCAUACGACCUACGGGUGAAAGCAGGGGAUCUUCGGACCUUGCGCGAUUGAAUGAGCCGAUGUCGGAUUAGCUAGUUGGCGGGGUAAAGGCCCACCAAGGCGACGAUCCGUAGCUGGUCUGAGAGGAUGAGCAGCCACACUGGAACUGAGACACGGUCCAGACUCCUACGGGAGGCAGCAGUGGGGAAUAUUGGACAAUGGGCGCAAGCCUGAUCCAGCCAGACCGCGUGGGUGAAGAAGGCCUUCGGGUUGUAAAGCCCUUUUGUUGGGAAAGAAAAGCAGCAGGUUAAUACCCCGCUGUUCUGACGGUACCCAAAGAAUAAGCACCGGCUAACUUCGUG